rnacentral:rRNA from 1 species
AUUGAACGCUGGCGGCAGGCCUAACACAUGCAAGUCGAGCGGUAGAGAGGUGCUUGCAUCUCUUGAGAGCGGCGGACGGGUGAGUAAUGCCUAGGAAUCUGCCUAGUGGUGGGGGAUAAACGUUCGGAAACGGACGCUAAUACCGCAUACGUCCUACGGGAGAAAGCGGGGGAGUCUUCGGACCUCGCGCCAUUAGAUGAGCCUAGGUCGGAUUAGCUAGUUGGUGAGGUAAUGGCUCACCAAGGCGACGAUCCGUAACUGGUCUGAGAGGAUGAUCAGUCACACUGGAACUGAGACACGGUCCAGACUCCUACGGGAGGCAGCAGUGGGGAAUAUUGGACAAUGGGCGAAAGCCUGAUCCAGCC